rnacentral:rRNA from 1 species
GGCGUAGCAAUACGUCAGCGGCAGACGGGUGAGUAACACGUGGGAACGUACCUUUUGGUUCGGAACAACACAGGGAAACUUGUGCUAAUACCGGAUAAGCCCUUACGGGGAAAGAUUUAUCGCCGAAAGAUCGGCCCGCGUCUGAUUAGCUAGUUGGUGAGGUAAUGGCUCACCAAGGCGACGAUCAGUAGCUGGUCUGAGAGGAUGAUCAGCCACAUUGGGACUGAGACACGGCCCAAACUCCUACGGGAGGCAGCAGUGGGGAAUAUUGGACAAUGGGCGCAAGCCUGAUCCAGCCAUGCCGCGUGAGUGAUGAAGGCCCUAGGGUUGUAAAGCUCUUUUGUGCGGGAAGAUAAUGACGGUACCGCAAGAAUAAGCCCCGGCUAACUUCGUGCCAGCAGCCGCGGUAAUACGAAGGGGGCUAGCGUUGCUCGGAAUCACUGGGCGUAAAGGGUGCGUAGGCGGGUCUUUAAGUCAGGGGUGAAAUCCUGGAGCUCAACUCCAGAACUGCCUUUGAUACUGAAGAUCUUGAGUUCGGGAGAGGUGAGUGGAACUGCGAGUGUAGAGGUGAAAUUCGUAGAUAUUCGCAAGAACACCAGUGGCGAAGGCGGCUCACUGGCCCGAUACUGACGCUGAGC